CUGAUAUGAAGAGCUUGCUCGGAUUUGAAGAUGAACAUUGCAAAGAGUGGCGAACGGGUGAGUAACACGUGGGAAACCUACCUCUUAGCGGGGGAUAACACUUGGAAACAAGUGCUAAUACCGCAUAAUACUGAUAACCGCAUGGUUAUCAGUUGAAAGAUGGUUCUGCUAUCACUAAGAGAUGGUCCCGCGGUGUAUUAGCUAGUUGGUAAGGUAAUGGCUUACCAAGGCAAUGAUACAUAGCCGAGUUGAGAGACUGAUCGGCCACAAUGGGACUGAGACACGGCCCAUACUCCUACGGGAGGCAGCAGUAGGGAAUCUUCCACAAUGGACGAAAGUCUGAUGGAGCAACGCCGCGUGUGUGAUGAAGGGUUUCGGCUCGUAAAACACUGUUGUAAGAGAAGAAUGACAUUGAGAGUAACUGUUCAGUGUGUGACGGUAUCUUACCAGAAAGGAACGGCUAAAUACGUGCCAGCAGCCGCGGUAAUACGUAUGUUCCAAGCGUUAUCCGGAUUUAUUGGGCGUAAAGCGAGCGCAGACGGUUGUUUAAGUCUGAAGUGAAAGCCCACAGCUUAACUGUGGAAGUGCUUUGGAAACUGGAUAACUUGAGUGCAGUAGAGGAGAGUGGAACUUCAUGGG
rnacentral:rRNA from 1 species